UACGUAGGGUGCAAGCGUUAAUCGGAAUUACUGGGCGUAAAGCGUGCGCAGGCGGUCCGUUAAGACAGACUGUGAAAUCCCCGGGCUUAACCUGGGAACUGCAUUUGUGACUGGCGGACUCGAGUAUGGCAGAGGGGGGUAGAAUUCCACGUGUAGCAGUGAAAUGCGUAGAGAUGUGGGAGGAAUACCCGAUGGCGAAGGCAGCCCCCCUGGGCCAAUACUGACGCUCAUGCACGAAAGGCGUGGGGAGCAAACAGG
rnacentral:rRNA from 1 species